GGGAACUUAGCUCAGUUCGGUAGAGCGUCUAACUGUUAAUUAGAAUGUCAAAGGUUCAAGUCCUUUAGUUCCCG
rnacentral:tRNA from 1 species